rnacentral:lncRNA from 1 species
UAUAACUACUGCCUGGUACUCUUGGAGGAAGUAUAGAUGGAGUCAAGCAGCCACAUGUCUAGGUUGCAGCCUCAGCUGAGGACCCAAACAACAUCUAGCAUUGACCACCUCUGAGAUGACUCUAGCACCAGUCAUCAUCCAACUGCAUCUAUGUGAGAAAUCCAAAGCAGGAACCUUGGGUGAAAUCUGUUCCUGACCCGCUGCCACUGAACCUGUCUGAGAUCCCAGAGUCCCGGUUGGAAACUGAAUAGAUCAGGAACUUUGGAGACUGGCCCGGCUUCUGCAGGAAAGAAUCACCUGACAGGCCUCUCUGACUUAUGGAGACAACACAUUCCACCUCGAGGAGUCCUGGUCUGGUCCUCGUACCAGGUGAAAUAUAAUUCAGCCAGCUUUGAUGGGGCCCAGAGCAGCAAAGAGCUCUGCACCAGGUGCAGCCUGCCAUGUCAACAGCCCUGUCACUAGGGCCCCUGAAGACACAGAAGAUUUAACAACAUUAACCACCUGGACAUCACUGACGCUUAGAGACACUCCACUGAAUAUCAGUAAAAUACAUAUUCCUUUCAGAACAUUUGCUAAGAUAGACCACAUUGUGGGCCGCGAGGACUCAGAGAUGACAUUGUUUGUAUUGCGGACAGUAGAACCAUUGACAAAAUCAUUUGCAAGAUGACCAAGAAGAUACUUGUCACAUCCAAACUGAAGAACAAGACACUUUCUUAGAACCUUAGAAGAUGAACUGUGUGUUGGAAGCAAAAUCACUCUGAAUCUUUGGAGAAAGACAAUCGUAUUAAAAGAGGGAAGAGCUCUUUCUCCUCUCAGAAUCAGCAACAGCAUAUUGAGAACAAAGCACAUUGGACAUAUAAGUAACUCUAGAAGAGAAAGACAUUGAGAGUUAUUAAUUAACCAAUGUGCAUAUGCAUGAUAUCACCUCACUGAUUGCACUUCUAAGCUUAAGCAGCUGAUGAGUCUGGAUAGUUGAGUGACACAGGAUGUUCACACUGAUGCUGUCCUGUCCUCCAAGGCAAAGGGAAGGUUGAUCCUCAGCAAGGAAGGAGCAGACACAGACAUGACGCCAGUGAUACAUUCUGAGCUCAGGGCCUUCAGUGGCUCAUUUUUCCAAUAUCUUGUUUCUGCUUUUGGGUUGUUCAAGGGUAGGAAGUAAAAUUAUUUACCUCCAAGGAAGUUAAUCACGAUGGUUUUCAUAUUAUUGAGAUAAAGAGAGAAAUUAUUC